UGAAACUCGUGAUGAAGAAACAGAAAGUGGGACGAGUAACAGUAUUCCGAUGCCACCAGAAAUACGCAGAUUAGCAAUAAACAAGAACUCUGGAGAAACUCUCUUACACCGAUCUGCUCGAUGUGGUUAUCAGGAUGUACUCUACUACUGUUUGAAAACGAGGUCCGUCGACGUAAACGCCCGCGACAAUGCGGGUUUCACACCAUUACACGAGUGCUGUGUUCGAGGGAAUUUAUAUGUCGCGCGCUAUUUGAUUUCAUACGGAGCUGAUGUUAACCAAUGUUCUCAAGACGG
rnacentral:lncRNA from 1 species